AGCAGCCGCGGUAAUUCCAGCUCCAAUAGCGUAUAUUAAAGUUGUUGCAGUUAAAAAGCUCGUAGUUGAAUUUCGGGGUUAGUAGGUUGGUCAUGCCUCUGGUAUGUACUGGUCUCACUGAUUCCUCCUUCCUGAUGAACCUUAAUGCCAUUAAUUUGGUGUUUUGGGGAAUUUGGACUGUUACUUUGAAAAAUUAGAGUGUUUAAAGCAAGCUAACGCUUGAAUACAUUAGCAUGGAAUAAUGAAAUAGGACGUUCGAUCCUAUUUUGUUGGUUUCUAGGAUUGACGUAAUGAUUAAUAGGGAUAGUUGGGGGCAUUAGUAUUCAAUUGUCAGAGGUGAAAUUCUUGGAUUUAUUGAAGACUAACUACUGCGAAAGCAUUUGCCAAGGAUGUUUUCAUUAAUCAAGAACGAAAGUUAGGGGAUCGAAGACGAUCAGAUACCGUCGUAGCCUUAACCAUAAACUAUGCCGACUAGGGAUCGGAUGAUGUUAAUUUUUAAUGACUCAUUCGGCGCCUUACG
rnacentral:misc_RNA from 1 species